GAGACCGGCGCACGGGUGCGUAACGCGUAUGCAAUCUACCUUUUACAGAGGGAUAGCCCAGAGAAAUUUGGAUUAAUACCUCAUAGUAUAAUGACUCGGCAUCGAGAUAUUAUUAAAGUCACAACGGUAAAAGAUGAGCAUGCGUCCCAUUAGCUAGUUGGUAAGGUAACGGCUUACCAAGGCUACGAUGGGUAGGGGUCCUGAGAGGGAGAUCCCCCACACUGGUACUGAGACACGGACCAGACUCCUACGGGAGGCAGCAGUGAGGAAUAUUGGACAAUGGGCGCAAGCCUGAUCCAGCCAUGCCGCGUGCAGGAUGACGGUCCUAUGGAUUGUAAACUGCUUUUAUACGAGAAGAAACACUACUUCGUGAAGUAGCUUGACGGUAUCGUAAGAAUAAGGAUCGGCUAACUCCGUGCCAGCAGCCGCGGUAAUACGGAGGAUCCAAGCGUUAUCCGGAAUCAUUGGGUUUAAAGGGUCCGUAGGCGGUUUAAUAAGUCAGUGGUGAAAGCCCAUCGCUCAACGGUGGAACGGCCAUUGAUACUGUUAAACUUGAAUUAUUAGGAAGUAACUAGAAUAUGUAGUGUAGCGGUGAAAUGCUUAGAGAUUACAUGGAAUACCAAUUGCGAAGGCAGGUUACUACUAAUUGAUUGACGCUGAUGGACGAAAGCGUGGGUAGCGAACAGGAUUAGAUACCCUGGUAGUCCACGCCGUAAACGAUGGAUACUAGCUGUUGGGAGCAAUCUCAGUGGCUAAGCGAAAGUGAUAAGUAUCCCACCUGGGGAGUACGUUCGCAAGAAUGAAACUCAAAGGAAUUGACGGGGGCCCGCACAAGCGGUGGAGCAUGUGGUUUAAUUCGAUGAUACGCGAGGAACCUUACCAAGGCUUAAAUGUAGUUUGACCGUUUUGGAAACAGAACUUUCGCAAGACAAAUUACAAGGUGCUGCAUGGUUGUCGUCAGCUCGUGCCGUGAGGUGUCAGGUUAAGUCCUAUAACGAGCGCAACCCCUGUUGUUAGUUGCCAGCGAGUCAAGUCGGGAACUCUAACAAGACUGCCAGUGCAAACUGUGAGGAAGGUGGGGAUGACGUCAAAUCAUCACGGCCCUUACGCCUUGGGCUACACACGUGCUACAAUGGCCGGUACAGAGAGCAGCCACUGGGCGACCAGGAGCGAAUCUAUAAAACCGGUCACAGUUCGGAUCGGAGUCUGCAACUCGACUCCGUGAAGCUGGAAUCGC
rnacentral:rRNA from 1 species